rnacentral:lncRNA from 10 species
UCUUUUCUUGUAAAAUUUUUUUUAAUGUAAAAUUUAUUUUCUCUUUAAUUUAGGAUUGAUUUGAGAGUGUAGGAAUGUAAGGAAAUAUUCAUAAUUUCUUUAUGUAAACUGAAAAGGCAGUUAGUUGAGAAUUAUUUUGGAUUAUUUUCAAAGGGUAAGUAAUCAUCUUUAUUUAGCCUGCUCCCUUCCUGACGCGUUAGACAAUUUUAGCAAUAGUUGAUGAGUUCUUCCCUGAUUGCAAAAAGGCAUUAAAACUGAUAGACACCAAAGUGGUCAAGGCAUUUAUUUCCAUUGUAAUAACAUGAAAAUCUUAUUAAUCAAAAUGUUUGUGUAAUAAGUAGUAAUUGUGGUGUUUAAAGAUUUCGACUUCAGUUGAAAAUUACUGUGAUAGAAAACCACUUUUGAGGUACAGGGCAUUUGUCAAAAAUAUUGGUGGAAAACAGUUUCUCAGUACUCUGUCUUGAGGAGGUGCUGAGUGUUUUAUAAUAGGAGUAUUUUCUACAGAUUGAAGCAAAUGAUAUCUGUCAUAACACAGUGAGGGCCAAACUGAGAGUUGCUGAAAGGAAAUGGCCUUUCCUUCCUCCUCAAGCUGUAUUUAAAACUUCAUAUUCAUUUUUAGUUUGGCUACAGUGGUGUGGAAAUUUGCUUCUGACUGACCCAUGAAAUAAAUAAAUAAAAAUUUACUUCUAGCUGGUUGGUAGGUGAAUUCAAGAUCACCAGUUAAAACAAUAACAGCACUGGGAAUCGAAUAAGGCAGACUUCCUUGGCAAGCAUCCUUAAUGAUUAAGUGUUGGAUGAGUAUUGAUCUGGAAAUUAAGUCCUAGACUCCUUUUAACGGAGAAUGUUUAAUCCAUAAGAGCUAUAACUUAUUAUAAGCAAAACAUCACCUUACCUUUUGGCAGGUUUUGUAAAAAAGAAAGGUAUAGUAGGCUUAUGGUACUCUAUAGUUUAGUUUUAAAUAAAAUGGAUGUGAUUAAAUGUAAAAAAAUUUGAUUACUGACAGGAGACCAGAGUUAAUUGAACUUAGCAGAGAGCAGAGUUUAGUUCUCCAGGCUACAAUAUUGACAGAAAUUCUCAAUGAAUCAUUAAAAAAACUCAAGUGGGGCUGGAGUAUGUUUGAGCUGUUGCCAGGCUAACCUUGGAGACCCUUUGUUGUAAAGAAUAGAAUAGUCGUAUCACAUGGUAGUGCUGAUAAGGUAAAGGAGAGGAGAUAUUCUUUAUUACUGCUGUCAACCUCGUAGAGACAAUUGGGAAACAUGUUUUUGGUUACUGUGGGUAUCUCUUGGGAUAGUAGUGACAACUCUCACCAUCCAGUUUAUUAAAUCCCAAUAGGAAUGUUUCCAUCAUCUCUUUGCAAAAAAAUUGUUAGAUGUAACAUUUUCCAGAAGUACUGGAAAAUUUAUUUAUGAGCCAAAAAUAAGAGUGAAAUUGACUAGAAGCAGAAAGUCCCUGUCCAAGCUAAGGAAAUGCAAAAAGUAAACAAAUGGUAUAAAUAGCAAAAGAAUGUAAGUCUGUGGUUAGCAGUGACAUCUGAAUGUCCAGUUUAAAGUUUUGUGCUUUAUUCCCAACCCUAGUUACAAAGUGAAUGAAACUGACACAAUAUAAAUAUCUGAAUCUUCUGAUUCUUCUUUAAUUAAAUGAACAUUCCCUUAAUAUGUGAUUCUGAAAUGUUUUGAGAUUUCAAUGUCAGAAAUGAUUGUCUGUGUCAAAAGCAACUCAUUCUAAUUGCUCCUUUUAAGUUCAUGUUGCACAUAAUUGUAUGUUCUCUUAACCUAGGCACCCCAAAGAGGCUUUUAUUGUGAGUCAUAGAUUCUCCAAUCCUGAAUUAUGUUGGUUGGUGCUAUUAAUUACCAUUUGAAAAAUCAUUGAUGGGGAUGCUUAAGGAAACUUGUUUGAUUUAGUUUUGUUUUUGGUCUUAAAUCUUUAGGAUAUUCAUUUUCAAAUGCAAAUGUUCAUAACCUAACAGACAUGAAAUAUUUUCAGGUUUCUUUCUACAACUUCUUUGAGUAGAGAUUCUCCCAGGUACUGGUUACCUUGAAUAUUACUGAAUAAAGAUUUUUUUUAAAAAAGAAAUGUUACUAUCAAUACCAUGUAAUUUACCUGUUAAUCAUGUAAUAUUUUGAAAGUACAGCAACUAACUAUGAUACUAUAAUACAGGCAUUUUUGUUCUAACACUUUGGAAAAGAGAUUAGCAUUACGGAUGAUUUAGAUUCAUGUUUUGAUAGUAAAGGUAUCUGUUGAAAUAUAUAGCAGUUCAUUUAUUUUACAUCCUGUAUUUAAAAUUCUAUGAUUAUAUUGGCUCUAAUUUUAAAAUGUGUUACAAAACUUAUAGUACAUAUCUUUAAUUGCAAGCCCUUAUUAUUUUACAAUACCUAAUGAAAAUGAUCAGUUAUGCUCAUUUCUACACAAGGUGAUAUAAUAAGACACAAAAAUGAGUGAAACAGGUGUUAAAUCUCUUUCCCUCACACUGGGGUCAUCAUCUGCUUUUUUGAAGUAUAUUUUGUACAAAGAAAAAGAUAUUGGAAGAGAGUCAUUGGUAGUCUAAAAUUUCUUGCCUGGCUGUAUUUUGGAAAAAUAUUACACUAGUCCUUUCUCCUUUCCUUUCUGUAUCUCUUCUAUUUAUAACUAUUUUACAACUAUUUAAAAAUGUCUUAGAGUUUAACUGGCCUAAAAUAUAUGAAAUGUAGAGAUUGAUCAAAAUAGUUUCUAUCAAAAUAGUUUUGAUCAAUCUCUGCAAUUUUAUAUAUGAGGAAACUGAAGUCUGAAAGUAUUAUGCCCUUUGUGUCUCUAUUUUGAAAGGCAGUGACAAAAUUAAGACAUAUGACCAGCAUCUGCUGAACCAUGGAUCUUUUUUAUAACUAACUAUAUUAUUUCUUUUUUUUCCCCAGAAAAGAUGAUGGCAGGAAAAGCUUAGAAUAAUAUAUAUGUUUUUUUCUAUUCUAUCUAAUCAAUCAAUCAGUUUUGUUUCACUGUAACCCUAACCUUUGUCAAUGUCAUCAAUAGCAUCGCUUGUUCAGAAAACAAAUGAACAUUUUUGGAGUCAAAAAGUUAAACUCAAACUCCAUCUUACUGAUAUGGAAGUGCUGGGAAGGGAGGAGCGUGGCUCCUUUAAAUGAUAUGGAAGGGGUGAAGGAAAGUGCUAGGUAGAGGAAGGGCGUGGUCCCUGGCUGGGGCUCCACCCCCACGGACCUAGGUAAGGACAGGCACUCCUGCCUUCAUGCCCAAAUGUUGUAUUUCCAAAGACCACCCUGGCCCACCAUGCCCUCAUCCUGUGUGUAUAAAAACCAAGACCCUAGCAAGGCAGAGAAGAAGCAGCUGGACAUUGAGAGGAGCACAUCAGCAGAGGAACACACAGGCACAGGAUGUUCAGAGGGAUGCACCAGCACCCGCAUGCUGGCAGGCUACUGACCAGCAGAACAACGUGGAGUUUGGCUGGGGUGGUUGGAGGAGAGCCCGGGAGAGCCCGCGCCUCUGAGUGGCACAACUCCAGGGGAAAACCAUCUCCUUUCUGGCUCCCCCAUGUGCAGAGAGCUACUUCCACUCAGUAAAACCUUGCACUCAUUCUUCAAGCCCACAUGUGAACCAAUUCUUCCAGUACACCAAGGCAAGAAACCCUGGGAUACAGAAAGCCCUCUGUCCUUGUGACAAGGUAGAGGGUCUAAUUGAGCUGACAUAAGUCGCCUAUAGACCACAAACUAAAAGAGCACUCUGUAACACACCCCACUGGGGCUUCAGGAGCUGUAAACUUUCACCCCUAGACUCAGCCCUGGGGGCGGAGCCCCACAGCCUGCCCAUCUGUAUGCUCCCCUAGAGGUUUGAGGAGCGGGGCACUGAAGUAGCAAGCCACACCCGCAUCGCAUGCCUGGCGAGGGGACAAGGGAACUUUUCCUGUUUCGUUACUAGAUGUAUGACCUUUGAAAUUUACUUACAUGUUCACAUUUUAAAAUGGGAACUAUAAUGAAUACCCACAGGUGAAAUGAGUGAUUUUAACCAGUCUCAUUUUGCUUAGUCACAUGAUCCAGAUAUAUCUGUUAGUCAUUUAGUGAUUUGUUGAUUGAUUAUUCCUGUUUCUAAAAAAAAAUCCCAUUUGUAUUUGAUGAAAACUGAAAAGGCAUCUUCAUCUUCAGUUUUAGAAACUGCAAUGGACUGAAUGUUUUUCUCCAAAAUUUAUAUGUUGAAAUUCGAAUCCCCAAGGUGAUAAUGAUAUUAGGAUGGAGAGUCUUUGGGAGCCCUCAUAAAUGAGAUUAGUGCCCUUAUAAAAGAGACCACAGAGAGAUCCCCGACCCCUUACCCCAUAUGAGGAUACAUGAAAAGAUGGCCAUGUUUGAAUCAGGAAGCAGCCCCUCACCAGAUACAAAAUGUGCUGGUGUCUUGAUCUUGGACUUCUCAGCCUCCAGAACUGUGAGAAAUAAAUGUUUGUUGUUUAUAAGCCAUCCAGUUUAUGGUAUUUUGUUACAGCAGCCUGAAUAGUUUAAGACAGCAAUUGAAUAAUAUUUAAAAAUGCAUGAAGUACUGCUGCUUAAAUAUUAAAGUCAAUGAGAACUCCCUGAAAUUUAUAGAUGGAAGAGGAUGCUGAAUUUGUUUGUUACCAAUCUCACAUUUUACAGUACCAAAGGCAAAAAACUUAACCUAAGAUGGCAGUGGUUACACAGAAAGUUAAUGUUAUGUCUGGGGCUAAAACACAGAUCUCCUCAUUUUCAGUUCUCAGCAUUUUCCUCAAUAGCAUGCCACCUUUCUUAAUAAAAGGGUAAUUGUGUUGGGACCAGGAACACUGGUAUAUUUUAACAGAUAUGUCUAGACCAUGAGAAUUGCCAGAUGCAUUUUGCAAAGAUUUUAUUAAUUGUACACACACAUUAGGAUAUUAAUUUCUUCAGAUGAAUAUUUAAUUAUUAAUGUUACACAAGUUGGAAUCAGUUGUUAAGUAUGUGCUUUAAGCUAUACCAAAACUAAGUGUUACACUGGAAAUUGUCACAGGCCAUUUUCUUGUGUUAAAGUAAAGCUACAAUUUUUUUUCCUAUAACUCAUGAAACAAUAACUUAUGUUUCCCUUAUUCUUUAUUUAUUGUUUUUAUUUUUAAUGUUUAUAAUUAUUAUAUACGUUGGUUCAUAGGAAAUGCAAAGGCAUAUUUUCAGCCCACUUAGGUAUUAUUUUAUGGCAUUCAUUGAUGUAUUAACUUUCCUCUGACUUUAUGUCAUUCAUUCUCUCUCUAUUUUUAUCACUUUUUAGCCUAUCAGAAUGCAUGCAAUUGUAUAAAGAGCCUUAAAUCAUUCUGAGAGUAGAUGUUUGAAUAAAUAGUAUUUGUUAUUCAAAAUGACCGUCACUGGAGAAGUGAUUUGAUAUACAAUUUUUUGCUUUACAUACAGCUACCUAGUAGCUAAAAUGCAGCUUCUUUAAAGGACAACUGAAAAAUCUUUAGAAAACAUAGGUAAGGGAAUGUGUCCCUGAAUGUGUGAAAAUGACAAUGACACUAAUAGUAUUAAACUAAAAGAAGAGAAAUAUUAAGGAAGUUAAAGGAAUGAAAAAGGAAGGAAGGAGAAGAACUUAGUGUGUGCUAGGCACUGUGCAAACAACAAACAACAAGAAAACAUCUAACUCAAUUUCACUCAGGAGGAAAAUGAAUCCUAGGAGUUAAGUAACUUGCCUGAUGUUAGACAAUGUGUAAGUAACAAAAAUGAAACCUUUUUAACUCUACUACAAUUUUUUAAAAUUAAAAACGUGAAUUAAAAUUAUGUUUUCUACUUUUACUUUCGUUUGAUUCAUUAAUCUCGCAAGUAACUUUGGAUCCCACUGGAGUUUCUCAUAUAAUCCAUGCUACUACAUCCUAAGAGAAUUUAACUCUGUCCUGAAAUGACAUCUGAAGCCAAUAUUUAUAACCCAGUCCUGUGUCCUUGCCAAGUUUCCUGUGCUAAUGAUCUUAAGCUUCAAUAACAGCUGUCAUGUAGAUGAAUUGCAAGGUACUUUGGGAGCUAUAUGAACGUAUCGCAUGGCUUUUAUCACACAUACAUUUCCUGCAUCACCUCUGGAUUAAAAUGUCACCUAUUUUAAGAAUUCUAGAAAAGUACAAAGAAAAGCAUGACUACCAAUACCAUGGCCAACUGAAAAUUCCGAGUAAAAAUUAAGCUUGACAGAAUGUCAUUAUCACACAAAUUAGAUUGGACAUGGAAAUUAAUCUUUGGAAUUUAUAAAAUAAUAAAAUUAUCAUAUCUUUGUAUUUUUAUUCAUUUGCUUUUAAAAAGAAAAUGUAGAAAGAAAACUAGUUAUCAGCAUUUUAUGGUUAAUUAAUUCAGGGGUUAUUCAAUGGCAUAAAAUGACUUGUUAUAAUUGAGAAAUAGCUAAUUUAAAUCUUGCCUCUACUACAGCAUACUAAAUAAAUUAUUUUUAUUAUAAAAUAUCUCCUAUAUAAUGUAACCUCAAUAUAUUUUAAGCUGUUAUAUACAUUUUGGGGGAAAACUUUGCAUUUUGAUUUUUUUUUUAUAGACGUUACUACUAAGCAAAAUCCAUUAGGUGGGUGUUUUACAAACAUGUCUGGUCAUAAGACUCUUGUUAAAAAUCCAGAUUCCUGGGCCCCUCACAGACAAUAUUGAAUCAGCUCUCAAACGGAGGGCCUGAGAACCUAAACCUAUUUUACAAAUCUAGCGGAUUCUUAUUAUCAAGAAAGUGUGGGAAAUAAUGCUUAAGAUAAUGUUCAUAGCAGGAUAGAAAAACGCUAAGUAUAUGAGUGGUGCUUUUAUGUAAUGAACCCGUUUAGCUCACCAAUGUAACCCCAGUGUGCAGUGCACCACUCUAGUACCCCCUCAAAUUCUGAUUGCUUUAAAUAUGUUAUUGUGUUAAAAUUUUUAUUGUGUCUUAAUAUGUUAAUAAUGCCUUUUACUAACAUAUUUACUUGAUACUUUGUUACUUAUUCCUUAAUUGGUAAUGUGGAUAUUUGGCAUUUGCAACAGAUUGUGACAAACCAAAAUACAUGAUGCUUGUAAGUCAAAUACUUUUGACAAAAAAAUUGCAUUUUCUAAGGUCGUAAAUGCUCCAGUGAAAGCAGAUCCACCUACCAUUUAAAAAACAACUAUCGAAUAUAUAUUGCAAAUCUCAGUCCAUAUUCCUAAAGUUAAAGCCAUAACUAAACCUCAGAAAAGACCCUUGUAAGAAGCAGGCUUAUCAGGCUCAGACUCUAAGCACAUUCCUUUGAAAACUUCUGCUAAUAUGCACCAGCUAUCUUUCAGUCUGCUCAUUCAACUUUGUGAAUAUAACACCACUCUCUGGAGACAGCCAGACUGUGAGAGUGCUUGGUGAGAGAACCCAGGUUUAUUUGACCAUAGAAGCUUACUUUUGUGGAAUGCUUACUGUCAUCUAGUAGAACACUAGAGCCCAGGGGAUACAAGCUUGGAAUAAAAGGCUCACAGAUAUCUGAACCCUCUACGUAUCCUUCUUCAUUUCCCAUGAUCUCUGGCUCACACUUUUUGAUUGAGCAACACAUGGAAGCUUGUAGCCCCCUGUAUGCAGUAUGUUGCUUUUCAUCCCCAUGUCUUUAUUCUGCAACUUCCUGGAUGGUAAUACUUUUCUCCUUCAUCUUUUAUUCCUUCAUCCUCACCAUCUGUUUCCCUUGAUUAUUCCUAUUAAAAUGUUUCACGCAUCCCUUGGUCUAUAGAAUCUUUUUUCACAUACUCCUCAUAAGUUACCUUUCCACACCUGAGCCUUUGUAAAACCCUGGGCACUCCUCAACCAUUAUGUUGACAUAGAUAUGAUAAGAUCUGCAGAGUGUUAUUUUCACCCAAGUUUGAGUAGAUAUUUUAGACAGCUAAUAUGGUGAAAGACUGAAAGCCAUUCAGAGAGUGGCAAACAUU